rnacentral:tRNA from 1 species
UGGAAGGCAUCCGUAUCCGGUGAUGCGGCCGGGCUUCAAACCCGGUUGGGGGCGUCAGUCGCUCCCAGGUCGGUUCGACUCCGGCUGCUUUCCGCCA